rnacentral:lncRNA from 1 species
AGAUGGUUUUUGUGAGUUCUAGACCAGCCUUGUGUAUGUAUCAUGUUCCAGGCCAGCCAGGGCUGCACAGUGAGACCCUGUUUCAAAAAAUAGCUGAAACUACCCCAAAAGACAUGAAGUCCAGCAUGAGACAAAUCCUACAACGGUAGGACCCAAAGGGAGUUUGGUAGAGGUAUUGGAGAGGGUCAUUUCCAAACAUUGAUUUUUCACUUUUGUGAAAAUUUCAGAAAUAAAUUUAAAAUAUUAGUUAAAAAAGAAAAAUACUCAUAUGAACUUACAAAAAUUGAAGCAGCAAGCACAGGCUCUGCACAGGUUUGCACCAGGUUCUGUAUAUAUAUUGUGACUUCCAGUUUAGUUACUUAUGGAACUCUUGAGUGUGUGAACAAAUGGAUCUCUGAUUCUCUGUCUUCUUGUGGGCUCCUUUUCCUUCUGCUGGUUUGCCUUAUCUGACUUUGAUGUGGUGUUUUUUGUUGUAACUUAUUAUAAGAAGAUAAAAGAAAAGAAAAAUACCCAGAGGACCACUAGGGGGAAUGAGAGUGUCUCAUUUUGAUGGUCAAAAUAAACAUGGCUGCAGAAAAAACAAAAACAGAAACAAAAAACAACAACAAAAAAACCCAACCAACCAUCACCAAAAACAAAGAUCCCCCAACUCCCAAACCUGAUUGUUAAAACAAUGCUUUCCUAAAAAAUGCCCAGUAAGAAAUCCUCUCACAAGGAGAAAAUUGGAUGGUGUCACUCUGGUAGGAUACAGAGAGGCAGACUUACUGACAUAUACACAUGAAGACAUAACCAGCAUGGGAGAGAUAGCUUGAUGAUUAAGAGCACUGGCUACUCUUGUAGAAGCCCUAGGAUCAAUUAUCAGCACCCACCUUGUGGUGCACAAUCACCUCUAACUCCAGCUCUAGAGGAUUUGACACAUUUUUUUUUAAGAAACCAUUUUAUUUCUAUGUCCUUUAGUAGUAUUUAGGUUUCCCAUAUAUCUCUUGCAUAUCUAGUCUCAGGUUCAUGGUCCUGUGUACAGUGUCAGGCAUGGGUACCAGUUCUUUGAGUGCCAAUUACAUAUUGGUUGGUUAGUUCUAGAAGCUUUGUAUCACUAUUGUACUAGUCCUUCUUGUAGGCAGGUACAUUGUAGAUUCAAAGGUUUGUAAUCAGGUUGGUUUUUACCUUUCUUCUUUUGUAGUGUGCACUGUACCUCAUAGUACUCUGAACACUUGUCCGUAUGGGUGAAGGCUACAGGUCAUCUCUUGCUCAACUUCUCCAUGUUCAAUGAAUUUUGAAGGUGUGGUGUUCUGAACUAAUACACUGUAGUCAAUUUGUAAAGAGCAACUAAUAGCUUUGGAAAGAGACUUGGUGGUUUGGGGGUUCCCAUGGCCAACACAUCAAAUAGAUGUAACCCAUUUCCAGAAUGGGAGGCAGAAAACUAUAUAUGUAAUAAAUAAAUAAAUCUUUAAAGAAGGAGGAGGAGAAGGAAAGGUGAUCCUCAGCUGUGGCAUCUUCUUCUGGUCUGCCGUCACCUUCUCUAGUUCUUUCAUUCCUCUUUUGGAUCACCCUUCUAUUGAAAGGCCCAGGUAGCUGAAGAUGGGGACAUCAGUGUGCAACAAUAGCUGAAGACAGAGGUUGGUGAAAAUAUCCAUAGUUUAGCUUCUACUUGGCAGCUUUGAAUAGCUUAGUCUUGUCACUUUCUCUCCCCUUAGUGAGGAGAUGAAGCAGCUGAGAAAGUUGUGUAUGGCCUUUACCCCCAAACAGGAGGUUCAGGAAACUGGGAGGACCUAUCACUGGAAUCCAUAUGGAGACAGUUGGCUCUGUUUGAAUGAGGCUGUUCCAGGUUUAUACUGAUCAUCUUCCUGGAUGAUCCAGCCUCAAGCCCACCUCUGAGAACCUGACGUCCUUGAACUUCGUGCAGGUCCAGGAACCCCUGAGCCAACUCCAGCUGUUUCCGGGGACCCUAGAUUGCACUCCUCACCCCUGGAGCAGGGUACAAUGGCUUCCAAUACCCUGAUGCCUGCCUGGAGCUGGCAUGGGGAAAGCACAGUCAAAACUCCUGAGUCCUGCCUCCACCAGCAGCCUGAGCCCUGGUGCAAUGCGGGCCAUCACUUAACCUACAAACCAUAAAUAUAUCAAGACAGUUAUAGAUGAUUUCGGUAGCAACACAUCACUUAUCUACUUUGAUUGCACAUAUUCAGCUAUGACAAGUGAACAAUACAUAUAGGUUUAAUCUAGCUUGUAAUCUAGCUUGUAACCUUGCUUCAGCCAAUUGCAAAAGACAUCAGUACAUGAAACUAAGAAUUUCUGUAACUUACUUGUGGAGGUCCAAAUGUUGUUUGGAUUUCAGUACCUCCAUUCCUGUGAUAUAGCCCUGUGAGCUCCCUCUUCCUGGUUGAAGAGUCUAUCCUUCUACCACAGGGCAGACAGAGCAAGCUGAGCCACUGGACCAUGUCCCCAUCAUAUUCCAUAUACAUCAAGGUCUUGCAGAGAGUAUGCGAAUGAAGAGAGAUCAGAGAAACAGAGAGGAAGGGAGACACAAGCCUAAGAUCCCAUUCACUGUAUAGCCCAGGAGUGCCAAAUUUCUACGGGGAGGGGCCAUUCAUACCCACAAGCAUCUACCAGCCUAAUGUCCUGAGCCAACCCUGAGGACAUCUGAGUGUGUGUAGCUCUCUAGUGUGUCAUUGAAAGUUGGAGAAAAGUGGAUUUAAAUGGGGUCAUCUGGAGGUUGUUUGAUUCUUUUCAGCUUUCUAUUACAGAGGAGAAUACUCUCAUUGGGAAAGGAUCCUGAUUAGAAAGUUUGCAAGUUUCAUGUCACACUUGUUCUCUGACUUUUGACCCCCAGCUGAAGGAACCUGGGCAGUGUAUAUUUUUCUCACUAGCAUUUCUCUUUCAGGAUUCUGACUGGGCUGGAUCACUCACAUGAAGGAUGGAGAGUCAUAUCUACGUGAUUCUAACCCCUCCCCAUCAAUGGCCAUAGUAGAUAGUAGUUGCAUGUAUUUGAAGCCUUCUUAAAAAACCCACUUUAAGCCACAUGACUAUCACACAAUAGUCUCCUCCUCCAACAUACUAUAAAUUUUGCAGGUUUCUCAUCUACACAUACCUGAUCUUUCACCCUUGUCUUUGGUGCUGUAUCAGAUAACAGAGUCUUCUUUGAUUCCCUUUUAUGUUCACCAUCACUUAUUAAAAACCAGAAUCCAGGUAACUUAGCCAUACAUUUCUUGACCUCGCCCAUCUCUCUUGCUGGUCUCCUUCCUACAAAGUCUGAAACCUCAACAGGGAUUCUGUGAUAGCAACAGUAGGUUCCCAGAGAUGGAGGCUCCUUCUUUUCUCAGUCUUUGUUCUUACACACUCAUAUUAAACUCAUAUUUUAAUUCACAAUGCCACUGCAGCUCCAACCAUCACAUGUAUCUGCAUAGUAGACAGAGAGCAAAAAUUUUUAUGAGUUCUUGAAGGUAUCCCUAGCAAGGCUCCAUCUCUUUAGCACAGUGUAACUGUAAGCCUUACAUGAACCGGGUACUCCUGAAAGGCAGGCUGGGGCUGAAAGAGACUAGAUAGCGAGAAAAGAAUGAGGCUAAGACAAAUUUUUCUCUGAUCAAGACCCCAAAGUUUACUAAGAGUCUGUGCUUAUAAAGAGGGGAGGCCAAUCCCCCGCCAAUCCAUUCUUGGUGUCUGGAGCCAGCCUGUAGGCGACAUGCAGGAUAGGAUGUGUCUCUGGAAUGUCUCAAGGUCUCUCAGCAGGUAGCAGAGUCUUGGAGAACAGUGGUAGUUGACAUAAUAUAGCCAUCAUAAUAUAGCUACACUCCAGGUGAUCUUAUAUUCAGUGGCAGCCUGCUUCAAAGCUGAGGGAGGCUACAAUUCCUCCCUAAAUAUAUACUAAAAAUUAGCUGGACUGAGGCAUAAAAUUAUUUUUAUGCUCCAUAGUCCUGCCUGGGAGUUAUGGUGGCUGGCGGCCGUGCCUGGCUUGGGAUAUCUCUGAUUUUCCCGAACUAUUCUUAUCUGUCAACUAUUCUUAUCUUAUUCUUAUGCAGCUUGUUUGUGUUUAUUUUACACCAACAUGGCUCUGUGGUGUAUUAUUAAUAAACCACGGCCUCUUGGC